UUAAGCGACUAAGCGUACACGGUGGAUGCCCUGGCAGUCAGAGGCGAUGAAGGACGUGCUAAUCUGCGAAAAGCGCCGGCGAGGUGAUAUGAACCUUUGACCCGGCGAUGUCCGAAUGGGGAAACCCAGUGCAAUCCGUUGCACUAUCGUUAACUGAAUACAUAGGUUAACGAGGCGAACCGGGGGAACUGAAACAUCUAAGUACCCCGAGGAAAAGAAAUCAACCGAGAUUCCCCCAGUAGCGGCGAGCGAACGGGGAGCAGCCCGGAGUCUGAAUCAGCUUGUGUGUUAGUGGAACGGUCUGGAAAGUCCGACGGUACAGGGUGAUAGUCCCGUACACGAAAGCACACAUGCUGUGAACUCGAAGAGUAGGGCGGGACACGUGGUAUCCUGUCUGAAUAUGGGGGGACCAUCCUCCAAGGCUAAAUACUCCUGACUGACCGAUAGUGAACCAGUACCGUGAGGGAAAGGCGAAAAGAACCCCGGCGAGGGGAGUGAAAAAGAACCUGAAACCGUGUACGUACAAGCAGUGGGAGCCUCUUUAUGGGGUGACUGCGUACCUUUUGUAUAAUGGGUCAGCGACUUAUAUUCUGUAGCAAGGUUAACCGUAUAGGGGAGCCGAAGGGAAACCGAGUCUUAACUGGGCGUUAAGUUGCAGGGUAUAGACCCGAAACCCGGUGAUCUAGCCAUGGGCAGGUUGAAGGUUGGGUAACACUAACUGGAGGACCGAACCGACUAAUGUUGAAAAAUUAGCGGAUGACCUGUGGCUGGGGGUGAAAGGCCAAUCAAACCGGGAGAUAGCUGGUUCUCCCCGAAAGCUAUUUAGGUAGCGCCUCGUGAACUCAUCUUCGGGGGUAGAGCACUGUUUCGGCUAGGGGGCCAUCCCGGCUUACCAACCCGAUGCAAACUACGAAUACCGAAGAAUGUUAUCACGGGAGACACACGGCGGGUGCUAACGUCCGUCGUGAAGAGGGAAACAACCCAGACCGCCAGCUAAGGUCCCAAAGUCAUGGUUAAGUGGGAAACGAUGUGGGAAGGCACAGACAGCCAGGAUGUUGGCUUAGAAGCAGCCAUCAUUUAAAGAAAGCGUAAUAGCUCACUGGUCGAGUCGGCCUGCGCGGAAGAUGUAACGGGGCUAAACCAUGCACCGAAGCUGCGGCAGCGACGCUUAGGCGUUGUUGGGUAGGGGAGCGUUCUGUAAGCCGUUGAAGGUGUCCUGUGAGGGGUGCUGGAGGUAUCAGAAGUGCGAAUGCUGACAUAAGUAACGAUAAAGCGGGUGAAAAGCCCGCUCGCCGGAAGACCAAGGGUUCCUGUCCAACGUUAAUCGGGGCAGGGUGAGUCGACCCCUAAGGCGAGGCCGAAAGGCGUAGUCGAUGGGAAACAGGUUAAUAUUCCUGUACUUGGUGUUACUGCGAAGGGGGGACGGAGAAGGCUAUGUCAGCCGGGCGACGGUUGUCCCGGUUUAAGCAUGUAGGCGGAGGUUCCAGGUAAAUCCGGUACCUUAUUAACGCUGAGGUGUGAUGACGAGGCACUACGGUGCUGAAGUGAUAAAUGCCCUGCUUCCAGGAAAAGCCUCUAAGCAUCAGGUAACACGAAAUCGUACCCCAAACCGACACAGGUGGUCAGGUAGAGAAUACCAAGGCGCUUGAGAGAACUCGGGUGAAGGAACUAGGCAAAAUGGUGCCGUAACUUCGGGAGAAGGCACGCUGAUAUGUAGGUGAAGCCCCUGCGGGCGGAGCUGAAAUCAGUCGAAGAUACCAGCUGGCUGCAACUGUUUAUUAAAAACACAGCACUGUGCAAACACGAAAGUGGACGUAUACGGUGUGACGCCUGCCCGGUGCCGGAAGGUUAAUUGAUGGGGUUAGCGGCAACGCGAAGCUCUUGAUCGAAGCCCCGGUAAACGGCGGCCGUAACUAUAACGGUCCUAAGGUAGCGAAAUUCCUUGUCGGGU
rnacentral:rRNA from 1 species